GAUGAACGUUGGCGGCGUGCCUAAUACAUGCAAGUCGAACGAAGACUGUAGUAAUACUGUCUUAGUGGCGAACGGGUGAGUAACGCGUGGGUGACCCUGCCCCGAAGUGUGGGAUAACAGUUCGAAAGAACUGCUAAUACCGCAUAAUAUCCAAGAGAUUAGACGCUUUUGGAUUAAAGGAGUAAUUCGCUUCGGGAGGGGCCCGCGUCCCAUCAGCUAGUUGGUAAGGUAAUGGCUUACCAAGGCGAUGACGGGUAGGGGACCUGAGAGGGUGGCCCCCCACAAUGGAACUGAAACACGGUCCAUACACCUACGGGUGGCAGCAGUAGGGAAUAUUAGUAAUGGGCGAAAGCCUGAACUAGCAACGCCGCGUGUGCGAAGAAGGCCUUCGGGUUGUAAAGCACUUUUUGAGAGGAUGAGGAAGGACGGUACUCUCAGAAUAAGUCUCGGCUAACUACGUG
rnacentral:rRNA from 1 species